rnacentral:rRNA from 1 species
GACGAACGCUGGCGGCGUGCCUAAUACAUGCAAGUAGAACGCAGUUGCGAACGGGUGAGUAUAGCGUAGGAACAUGCCUCAUUGCGAGGGAUAAAUAUUGUAAACAAUAGCUAAUACCCCGUACUGUGCGAUGGACCUGCGUUGUAUUAGCUAGUUGGAGUGGUAAAGGGCCACCAAGGAGACGAUACAUAGCCGACUUGAGAGGGUGAUCGGCCACACUGGGACUGAGACACGGCCCAGACUCCGACGGGAGGCAGCAGUAGGGAAUCUUCGGCAAUGGACGGAAGUCUGACCGAGCAACGCCGCGUGAGUGAAGAAGGUUUUCGGAUCGUAAAGCUCUGUUGUUAGAGAAGCGAUACCUAACCAGAAAGGGACGGCUAACUACGUGCCAGCAGCCGCGGUAAGAC